UACGGAGGGGACUAGCGUUGUUCGGAAUUACUGGGCGUAAAGCGCACGUAGGCGGCUUUGUAAGUUAGGGGUGAAAGCCCGGAGCUCAACUCCGGAAUUGCCUUUAAGACUGCAUCGCUUGAAUCCGGGAGAGGUGAGUGGAAUUCCGAGUGUAGAGGUGAAAUUCGUAGAUAUUCGGAAGAACACCAGUGGCGAAAGGCGGCUCACUGGACCGGUAUUGACGCUGAGGUGCGAAAGCGUGGGGAGCAAAACAGG
rnacentral:rRNA from 1 species